rnacentral:piRNA from 1 species
UGUGGUAUUCUUUGUACCCAA